GACGAACGCUGGCGGCGUGCCUAAUACAUGCAAGUAGAACGCUGAAGGAGGAGCUUGCUCUUCUGGAUGAGUUGCGAACGGGUGAGUAACGCGUAGGUAACCUGCCUGGUAGCGGGGGAUAACUAUUGGAAACGAUAGCUAAUACCGCAUAACAGUAGAUGUUGCAUGACAUUUACUUAAAAGGUGCAAUUGCAUCACUACCAGAUGGACCUGCGUUGUAUUAGCUAGUUGGUGGGGUAACGGCUCACCAAGGCGACGAUACAUAGCCGACCUGAGAGGGGGCUCGGCCCACCUGGGACUGAGACACGGCCCAGACUCCUACGGGAGGCAGCAGUAGGGAAUCUUCGGCAAUGGACGGAAGUCUGACCGAGCAACGCCGCGUGAGUGAAGAAGGUUUUCGGAUCGUAAAGCUCUGUUGUAAGAGAAGAACGAGUGUGAGAGUGGAAAGUUCACACUGUGACGGUAUCUUACCAGAAAGGGACGGCUAACUACGUG
rnacentral:rRNA from 1 species